rnacentral:rRNA from 1 species
UUUGAUCCUGGGUCAGAACAAACGCUGGCGGCGUGCCUAACACAUGCAAGUCGUACGAGAAAGUCCGCUUCGGUGGAUGAGUAAAGUGGCGCACGGGUGAGUAACGCGUGGAUAAUCUACCCUUUAGUCUGGAAUAACUUAUCGAAAGGUGAACUAAUACCGGAUAAUAUCCCGAUUUCUUCGGCGAUCGGGAUCAAAGAAGGCCUCUGCUUGCAAGCUUUCACUGAAGGAUGAGUCCGCGUACCAUUAGCUAGUUGGCAGGGUAAUGGCCUACCAAGGUUAUGAUGGUUAGCUGGUCUGAGAGGAUGAUCAGCCACACUGGAACUGAAACACGGUCCAGACUCCUACGGGAGGCAGCAGUGAGGAAUAUUGCGCAAUGGGGGCAACCCUGACGCAGCAACGCCGCGUGAGUGAGGAAGGUUUUCGGAUUGUAAAGCUCUGUCGAGCGGAAAGAAGUGCAUGGUGGUUAAUAUCCAUCAUGCUUGACGGUACCGCUAAAGGAAGCACCGGCUAAACUCCGUGCCAGCAGCCGCGGUAAUACGGGGGGUGCAAGCGUUGUUCGGAAUCAUUGGGCGUAAAGCGCGUGUAGGCGGCUGGACAAGUCAGAUGUGAAAGCCCUGGGCUUAACCCAGGAAGUGCAUUUGAAACUGUUCAGCUAGAGUAAGGGAGAGGAAAGUGGAAUUCCUGGUGUAGAGGUGAAAUUCGUAGAUAUCAGGAGGAACACCGGUGGCGAAGGCGACUUUCUGGCCCUAUACUGACGCUGAGACGCGAAAGCGUGGGUAGCAAACAGGAUUAGAUACCCUGGUAGUCCACGCUGUAAACGAUGUUCACUAGGUGUUGGGGGUAUUGACCCUUCCAGUGCCGCAGCUAACGCAUUAAGUGAAA